rnacentral:lncRNA from 1 species
UAAUUUGUUCCAUAUGUCCUCGUCGUUGAAACCCAGCCCGUACGCAGUUGCAGCGACCUAACCCCUUUCCCUGACCCCCAAGCGCGGUGGCGGCGGCCAGAUCCCUCAACCAAGUUAGCCAAGUACGCGGGGCGGAGGUGAUGUUCCACCUUUCCGAUGGCUCUUGCCAGUUGUGUCGCCAGCGGCUCUGUUUGAGGCCGAGCAGAUCUGAUCUCGUGGAGUAUUAAGAUCCGCGUCGCAGUAUGCUCAUCGUUGCCUCCCGAUCUCAGGCUCCGGCAGCGGCUGGUUAGUCGUUUCCUGUCAAUCUCAGUACCUAGGAUCAUCUCGCAUCCUCCUCCACCUCAUCGGCUGCAAGCCGGAGGUGGGCUCCUCGUCUCCUUCCCAACCGGCCUGUGUGACGUGGUGCAAACAUACAAGGCGUCACCACGGUGAUUAAUUCUUCUGGUAAACAAACAAAUUGAGAUGGGAGUAUUAGCUAGUACAUUUGUCCUUCAUGGUUCCAUCUCAAUUUUAUUAGCUAGUUGAUUUAUGCUGUAUCUCUACAUUAUUUUCUUGUACUUGUUCAUGUCAUACUUGCUUACAUGUGAAUGAUGCAUUUUGGUAACUUUGGCCAAUCAGGUCCAGUAACCUGGUGAAUGAUGUAGCACAGUCCAAUUUGGCAUUGUAUUGGUUACAAAAAAGAAUUACAUUGUAUAGCAUCUGUCGGCCUUGGCUUUUGCUGGAGUGUGGAUUUUUAGCACCAACCGGAGCUCGUUCAGAUGUGUAUCUGAGCUCUGGGGAAUUUAGUUGACACGUUCGGUCUUAUAUGCAUAGUUUUUUUGUUCGUUUUUUAAAUAACCAGUCACCCAUUUCGGAGUUACUUAUUAUGUUCAAGGUGGGUGAAAACCUGAAAGAGUGAAGUGGUUUUAUCCACAACAAAACUCUAUUCUGCUCAAGAUCACAUCAGUUGUGAAGUUCACCAGUUAGUAUUUGACAUCAAGGUUUUUGCAAAGUUAUUGUAUAUAUAUUUAAUGGUAUAGAUCAAAUUUACACUAAUAGCUCAGUUCUUGAGCUUGCACUCACACACCGGCAUCCAGAAGAUAGCUAGUUACAACCAACACAGCAGAAGAGACUUUUAUAAAGACAGCUAUUUCAUUUCGUAGUCGUAGAGCAGAGACACUCGUAGACCACAGGCUGCAGGAAUCUUGUCCAUCGGCACAUUGCUUGGUCUAGGAUCCAUCGCUCGGCCGCGAAUGCAUCUAGACGACCUUGUGGCGACUGGCCAUGGAGGCGGCAGGCGCACGCACUGCCACCGGCGAGAGAUCUUGCAAUUUGAUUGAAGUCUCUGCUAUCACUAAAGCAAGUAUGCAUGUUCGUGAUUUAGGAUUAAUUCUUCUUCCAUGACAUGGGCCUCUCUCUCAUCUUGUUCACUUAUAUUUCCCACGGUGUUGUAGUUUCCUUGUUAUAACAAUUUAUAAUAUAGUGCAUGCCAUCACUAAUUUGCAUCCGCAUGAUAGUCAUAAAAAUCCCUUUCUUGUUUGCCGUUGCUACUUAUGCUUUUAGAUAGUCGUUGAAACCUGUAAUUUGCUGUUCAAGCAUUCAUUCUGUGUGGUUACCCGAUCAAUUUUUUUUCCAAGCCAAGUGUGUUUGCAAAUAAUGUUGCAAGAUAUUUCUCAUAUAACACGACCUAGUGGAGUACCCAAACAAACACUAUUGAGCUCUUUUCAGUAAAAAAAAGUACUAUAGUGAUGAUGUUAUGGUAAGUGUAGAAAUGACUAUUUUGCAGCGUAUAGACUUGUUUAUGCUUCACAAUGUCAAGAAUAGACAUGUUACGUGUUUAUUAUUAUACUUGGUACAUGGUUCACUUGUUUGUAUUAGGGAGUGGCUCUGCUAAUAUUGUUUUUGUCGAACUCAUGACCAGUUUUUGAGUGAUUAAAAUGUCCAGCAGCUUUGAGGGUUCAACACAUGAUUUUAUCAUAAGAUAUGCUCUUUUCUUAUUUGUACAUACGAUAAGCUAUUUGAAAAUGGCAAGUUUUAUAAAGGAUGGAUUUCUAUUAGGACAAUUAUGUAAAUAAUUGUAUUGCUUAAUUCCGCCGGUUGUUACGAAUCUCUAGAAUGCACUAGAGUUAUUUUCCUGUACAAGAUAAAUAAUAUUUGUAUAAUUUGUUCAUUAUUGCUAAGUUAGGAUUAUCCACAAAAUAGUUGGCUUGUCUGCCAUUUCCAACAUAGAAACAUACUUUAGGUUGCCUUUUGCGGUUAAUGUCAUAUCUUCUCUAUUUAUCCUUCCUUGUAGUGUGUGCAGCACACAGUAGAUGGUGGUUGUUUAUGUAUAUUUAUUUGAACAGCUCAUGAUUAAUUUUUUAAGUAUGAAUGUAUGGCACAUACAUGGACUUGCGCUAACUGAAUCAUAUUUGCUACGUCUGAACUCUCCCAGGACAACAAGCUCGACGAACAAGAAGCACUGUAUCUGGAGGCAACUGUUGUGUGCCGUCAAGAUAGCACCGUUCAUGCAGUUCUUAAUGGCAAUGCUUGUUGAGCGAUGAUUAUUAUAGUCCUUCAGACUUACCCUUGCCCGUCAUGUACCAAAGUUGAUGCAGUUUUCGCUAGCAAUACUUGAUCCUGUGAUAUGAGUGUCUUUUGUGUUAUGCCUGGGAUGUUACAGUUUGACAUGUACUAAAAAAUGCGGCGCUGAUAGUCCAGUUUGACAUGCACUCAAGUAUUUGUUUCUGGAAUGGUUCAUUUUAACAUUUAUGCUAUUUCUUGUGCCUGGUAUGGUCCAGCUUACACGUACUCACAUAUUAGUGUGUGAUGGUCAUG